UACAGAGGUCUCAAGCGUUGUUCGGAUUCAUUGGGCGUAAAGGGUGCGUAGGCGGCGCGGUAAGUCGGGUGUGAAAUCUCGGAGCUUAACUCCGAAACUGCAUUCGAUACUGCCGUGCUUGAGGCCGGGAGAGGUGAGUGGAAUUCCCAGUGUAGCGGUGAAAUGCGUAGAUAUUGGGAGGAACACCAGUGGCGAAGGCGGCUCACUGGACCGGUUCUGACGCUGAGGCGCGAAAGCGUGGGGAGCAAACGGG
rnacentral:rRNA from 1 species